rnacentral:rRNA from 1 species
UACAAGGAGGUCAAGCGUUAAUCGGAAUUACUGGGCGUAAAGCGUGCGUAGACGGUUGCGUAAGUCAGAUGUGAAAGCCCCCGGGCUCAACCUGUGAAUGCCGCUGGAAACUGUCUGGCUAGAGUCCGGAAGGGGCGAGUGGAAUUCCUGGUGUAGCGGUGAAAUGCGCAGAUAUCAGGAGGAACACCAAUGGCGAAGGCAGCUCGCUGGAACGGUACUGACGCUGAGGCGCGAAAGCGUGGGGAGCGAACAGG